CUCCUUGCUAGGUAGGGAGAAAGGUGCAUUUUGGGAGGGAAAAGGACCUGGGCUCAGUGAUGGGCCCAGUGGGGGAUACUGAUAGAUCGAAUUGUCUUAGGUGCUGGAGCCUCCAAAUCCGACUCCUCUGGGUUGUAGCUUGAACUCUUGGAGCCACGGCUUUGCCAAAUGGAUGAUGUUUGCCUGUAUAAUGCAUUUUACUUCAGCCACCUUGAUAGCAGGUGAAAAUAGGCGUUUCCCAGCCCCUCCAGGAAGAAUGGGGAGGGGGCGGGGCAUCAGCUUAUGUGGCCAAAUUCUUCAUCCCGCUGCUUCCAGAGCCCCUUUUCACACACUAGCCUACACCCACCGUAUUCUCUACUUCUAAGGUGUUGACAGCUGCUUUCAUACUCACCUUUUAAAUACCUUCACACGACAGCCCUGUGAACUGAAAUUAUUGACCUGUUUGAGAGGAGCCAAUGAGAUGGCGGUGAGCAGAGACACCGGCUCAGAAGGAAACCUGCUUGGUGUUUAGGAACUAACUUCAAGACUUCGUGUCCCCAAAUCUAUAUAGCAGCCCUGUGCCCUGGGAGUCCUCUGGCCAAGGAAUAUGGAAUAGUCAGAGAGUGUAUGUGUGCUGUUUGGGGUCUGAACUUCAUCUUUUGUAAGUGUCAGAUAUCCAGGUAGAGUCCUAAGGCACACACACUCUAUGGUCAGGAAGCCAAUGUGGACGAAGUCAGGCAGGUUGGCUGGGUAGCGUUAGGUCAGAGUGACAUCCCACGAGGAGGCAGCCAGGUGAAGGUUUGCUGUCAGUGUGCUUUGCAAUUUGGAGGAGGAGGAAGGGUUGGCUUUAAGACUCAACACUUCGUUCAUUCAACCUUUACUAACCUUACCAAUGAUCCUUAUCCCGUCUCAAGAGGAAAUAUUUUCAACUAGUUUUCGACCUGCCUUGCCUCUUGGGUCAUUUUCCAGGCCUGGCAGUGAAGAGGGUGACAUGCAUGGCGGAUAUGUUCAGGAAAUGUUGGGAGCAUGAACAAAGGAGUAUUCAGUCUGUCAAGUGUAAAUCCUGAUGAGGCGCAUUGCACUUUUGUUUUAUAUUAUACCCGAAUCCUGGGUGACUGGGAAUAAUCUGGAGUUCCUAGCCUCUAGGUACUGCCUCGAC
rnacentral:lncRNA from 1 species